CUCGUCUAUAAACCCACUUAAGCAAACUAAUAUUCCACUAUGAGAAAACAAAGCAGCAGUCCAUCUCGCAAAGCCUUCUCUCUCGCAGGUCGACCCAGAUGGAAAAAGACACCAAAUCACCGAUCCAGAUGCCAAAAGGGCACUGGGUUUAUGGGACGAUGGAGGGCUGAUGCUGCUCAUGCGGGUUUAAGCGACGCUGCUUGCAGAAGAGGGAGAUGGGACUAGCAAUCUCGUGGUUUUUGGGGGGUCUCACUAAGACCUCUUAGUGAAGCCUUUAGUGUAGGCGAGUCCGAGCUAGUCUCAUUAAGACUAGUCUCGCAUGAUAACAAGCAUUAGACUGGACUAACUAUUAGUCCAGUCUAGUCCAAGGACAGUUAGUGAGGGCAAACAAACACCUCUUAGGUUUUUAGAGAGAAAAGUGGGAAGCGAAUGUGGGACCCAACGAUUAUAGAGAGUAGAAAUUUUUUAUUGUGAUGGGAACACAUAUGUUACCACGUGUUUUUAUAUAAGUGAUGAAAUUUUUUAUUUUUUAAGUUAUUAACUUUUUAACACACAUAUCUCACAAUUUAUAUUGUAACACAUGGAAUACCAUCUCAUUUGUAGGUCAUACAGAAAAAUCUCUCGUAUAGCGAGAAGAAAUAUUUUGGUAUUUCCAAAGCAUAGUCGGUAUAUUAUGAGUAAUAAUUAGAGAAUUUUAAUGAAAACUUCUGGUAUUGUUCAUUUUAACGAAAAAUCAUAUUUUUACACUAAAAAGUCAAUCCUGGUACUAUUUAUUUUAACAUUACGUUAAAACUCAAUGUUUUUAAGUACUUUUCAUUAUUUUCCUUAAUAAUUAUUGUAUUAUAAUAUUUAAUGCAUCAAACUGUGUUUUUGGCACAUUUACAAAUAAAGGCUAAUCAUCUGAGUGAGAGAGAGAGAGAGGGAGAGAGGCUUUAGGGAGGUUCUGCUGAUGGGUCUUGGGUAGGCCAAAGAAGUCAGCCUGGCAUCCAACUAAGGCCACGCCCUGCAACGGUUAUAUUUGUCCUCUCUCUCUCUCUCUCUCUCUCUCUCAAAUUGUGGGGUUCCUUUCGUAUUCAUUUCUCUGAUGAAGGGAGCAUUUGGGUUGGGGACCAUCUGGGUAUAUUUGUAUGUUUGGUGGGUUUAGUUUUCUUCCUUGAACGAAUAAUUCAGCUCAAAA